AUACGUAGGGGGCGAGCGUUGUCCGGAAUGAUUGGGCGUAAAGGGCGCGUAGGCGGCCCGGUAAGUCUGGAGUGCAAGUCCUGUUUUUAAGAUGGGAAUUGCUUUGGAUACUGUCGGGCUUGAGUGCAGGAGUGGUAAGUGGAAUUCCCAGUGUAGCGGUGAAAUGCGUAGAUAUUGGGAGGAACACCAGUGGCGAAGGCGACUUACUGGACUGUAACUGACGCUAAGGCGCGAAAGUGUGAGGAGCAAACAGGAGUAGAGACCCUGGUAGUCCACACUGUAAACGGUGAGUGCUAGGUGGAAGUGGUAUCAACCCCUUGUGUGCCGGAGUCAACACAAUAAGAAUUCCGCCUGGGGAGUACGGCCGCAAGGUGGAAACUCAAAGGAAUUGACGGGG
rnacentral:rRNA from 1 species